UGGGGGGACUGGGCCUGAGGCCCACGCACGGCCUGGAGGUGGGCAGGGAAGAGGAUUAGCCUGGAAGAGGAAGAGCCAGGCACUGGCUUGGGUCACAGGGCAAGAGAUGCAGAAGGUGACAGGUGGGGUCGGGCAGUGCCCCCCGCGACCACCUCCAGCAGCAGGGCAGGGGCUCUGUUUCUGCGUCCAGGCAGUGGCUUGCACAGGGAGCAGGGGCCAGACUUGCAGCAUCAGUUGUGGGGAAGCAGGAGGCUGGAUGGACAUCAUGGCAGGUCGGGGAUGCACCCAGAGUGCUGCUGCCAGCCUGGCACCCCGGUUUCUGGCUUUAGCCACGUGCAGAGGUGAGGCCCUGUUGUGAAGCCACGGGAGGCCUGGACGCCUGGGUCUCAUCCUUGGUUUCCCGUCGCAGUCUCGGGGUAAAGAUCACGAGAGUAGGAACUACGUGUGAGUGAGAAAGUGGUGACCCCUGGGGAGGUGGCUGUGGGGGGGGCCCAGCCGCAUAAUCAUCCUUGGCAGCGUGCACAGCAAAGGUGUGAGCAGACAGCCUGACUGCUACCGGGCCACUGUCUGGGGUCCCUCACCCCCGCCCUGUGGCACAGGGAGCGCUGCCACCCACUCUGUCUACUGAGUUCACGGGAAAGCGAGGCCUGGAAACGUGCCCUGGAAGCAAAGCGAGGAGCCAGCUGCUCCAUCACAGGCCACUGGCUGUGGCUCCCAGGAAUCUUGGGUCUGACACACAGAAGCGCUUGGGGCCUCCUUGGUUCCUGCUCCACCAGGAUGAAACUACGCGAUAAACUCCAGCCUGGAACCCUGCUCUGCUGGAACAGCAGGACGCAGGGGAGGGGCCCAGGGACUCCUGGCCCGGGUGUCUGUGCUCCUGAUCCCCACACUGGGAGCCUGUUUCUCCACCUGUGAAACGGCAUAGUUCUGUGGCACGUUCCGGGCAGCCAGAGUGGGGCAGCACAUGCAGAGGCCUGGCCCGGUGCUUCCUGGCAUGGGACAAGGUGGCAGUGAUGAGCCUGCACAGCCCGCUCCACUCCCACAGGCGCACCUGACCAAAUGACCAGCCGGCCACCGUGAGGCCUCACAGAGGGGCUAGAGCCCCAACUUCCAGGCAUGCCUCGGUGUGCUCAGUGCUGGCGGGUGAACGAACCCCCCUGGGCACCAGUCCAGACGAAGUAUGUGGCUCUGACUUCCCCUCUGACUUGAAUCUGGCAGCCAGCAGGCCAAGCCAGCAGGAACCUAGCCUCGCCCAGGGCAGCCCUUGGGACCUCGUUCCAGACAGACAGCAGCGCUCAAGCCCGCCUGCCCACCUCCGCUCCCCCGGGAGCCUGCCCAGCGCCUGCCCAGCACCCGCAGAUGGCUUUACACGGCAGAAGCACCAUCUUCUACUUGGUCUGUGCACAGGCCUGGGAGGAUGAGACAGUGACCUAAAGAUAAACUGGUUUUCCUUGCAUUUUCUAAAACGAAGUUUUUAUUAUGAGUCAAUUUUAGAUUUACAGAAAAGUGGCAAAGACUGAGCUUUGCUGUAGGCUCCCCACUCUGUUUCCCCUAAUGUGACAACUUACACAGGCGUGGUGUAGCUGUCACCGAGAUGAACUUUGGCACCGGGCAUUAAACUCCAGACUUGUCCUCGGACUUCA